GGCAAGAUGGCCGAGUGGUCUAAGGCGCUACGUUUAGGCCGUAGUCUUUCGGGGCGUGGGUUCAAAUCCCACUCUUGUCA
rnacentral:tRNA from 1 species